rnacentral:rRNA from 1 species
UACGUAGGUGGCGAGCGUUAUCCGGAAUUAUUGGGCGUAAAGCGCGCGCAGGCGGUUUCUUAAGUCUGAUGUGAAAGCCCACGGCUCAACCGUGGAGGGUCAUUGGAAACUGGGAGACUUGAGUGCAGAAGAGAAGAGUGGAAUUCCACGUGUAGCGGUGAAAUGCGUAGAGAUGUGGAGGAACACCAGUGGCGAAGGCGACUCUUUGGUCUGUAACUGACGCUGAGGCGCGAAAGCUAGGGGAGCAAACGGG